CAUCGCUCUCUGGGUAUAACACAUAGGGAGUCGAACCUGCCCAGUGAAAAUAUUUUAACGGCCGCGGUACUCUGACCGUGCAAAGGUAGCAUAAUCAUUUGCCUUAUAAUUGAAGGCUAGAAUGAAUGGUCUGACGAGAGUAACACUGUCUCCUAUCUAUUUUUUAGAAUUUGACCUUCAGGUGAAGAGGCCUGAAUUUUAUUGAAGGACAAGAAGACCCUGUCGAGCUUGAAAAACAAGUAGAACUACUUAUAUUUUAAUAAAUUCAUAACUGCUAGUAUUUUUGGUUGGGGCGACCAAGGAACAAAAAAAGCUUCCUGUAUUAAGAAAUACCGAUAAGUUUUGAUCCGGCUUAGCCGAUUAAAAGAAUUAGUUACCGCAGGGAUAACAGCAUAAUCUCUCUUGAGAGACCUAAUCGAAAGGGGGGGUUGUGACCUCGAUGUUGGACUAGAAUAUCCUGAAGAUGCAGAAGUCUUCGAGGGUUGGUCUGUUCGACCAUUAAAAUUCUAC
rnacentral:rRNA from 1 species